rnacentral:rRNA from 1 species
ACGAAGGGUGCAAGCGUUACUCGGAAUUACUGGGCGUAAAGCGUGCGUAGGUGGUUUGUUAAGUCUGAUGUGAAAGCCCUGGGCUCAACCUGGGAACUGCAUUGGUAACUGGCUUACUAGAGUGCGGUAGAGGGGUGUGGAAUUCCUGGUGUAGCGGUGGAAUGCGCAGAUAUCAGGAGGAACACCGGUGGCGAAGGCGGGUCACUGGGCCGUUACUGACGCUGAGGAGCGAAAGCGUGGGGAGCGAACAGGA